AGAGUACGUGAAACCGUUCAGGGGUAAACNUGAGAAACCCGAAAGUUCGAAUGGGGAGAUUCAAUUUCAGCGGCGGGUGGCCUUCCACGACGUUCGCGAUGUUCGAAGACGAGACGGCAUUUCUGAUGUCGUUCACUCAACGACACGCGUUCAAUUGUGGAUAGGUUGCGCUCACGUUGGCGUGCACUUCUCCUCUAGUAGAACGUCGCGACCCGCUGGGUGUCGAUCUAAGGGUCCAAUGGAUUCGACUGUCUCGCGUUGGUCUUUACCGGCUGUACGUGGAACAGAGUCCGUUGAAAAUUAUCCCCGAUCGACUGCUCGGCGGUAGAACGAUAAUGGUAUUCAGUCGCAUAUAGUGCGUUCAGACUCGUCGCAAGCCGGACCAUGUUAUCGCUCGGAUUGAAGGACUUUGCGCCUUCGCCGGGAGUGGUUGGCUGUUGGCGUGCGAUGUUCUCGAACCGGCUGAUGAAUUGCAAUUAAUGAAAUACCGGUCAGCGACGCUACUGCUUUGGGUACUUUCAGGACCCGUCUUGAAACACGGACCAAGGAGUCUAACAUGUGCGCGAGUCAUUGGGACGAUGAAACCCAAAGGCGUAUUGAAAGAGAAGAUCGGCCUUGCGUUGAUCGAGGGAGGAUGGGUGGUCCAUUGCGGACCGCUUCGCACUCCCGGGGCGUCUCGUUGUCAUUGCGACUUGAGGCGAACCAAGAGCGUACACGUUGGGACCCGAAAGAUGGUGAACUAUGCCUGGUCAGGACGAAGUCAGGGGAAACCCUGAUGGAGGUCCGUAGCGAUUCUGACGUGCAAAUCGAUCGUCGGAACUGGGUAUAGGGGCGAAAGACUAAUCGAACCAUCUAGUAGCUGGU
rnacentral:rRNA from 1 species